GUGACCUCAAAUCAGGUAGGACUACCCGCUGAACUUAAGCAUAUCAAUAAGCGGAGGAAAAGAAACUAACAAGGAUUCCCCUAGUAACUGCGAGUGAAGCGGGAAAAGCUCAAAUUUAAAAUCUGUCAGUCUUUGGCUGUCCGAGUUGUAAUCUAGAGAAGUGUUAUCUGCGU
rnacentral:rRNA from 1 species